CAGACAAGUUUUUGCUUCAUAGCAGAAACACCUCCCCAAUGAGUCUGUUCACAAGUGACUUGUACUAUCUUGCCAAGUUCUCCAUCACCAGAAGAAAGAGAGGGGCCUGGCUCCAGCUCUCAUAACCGAAAGGUGAAUGGAAGAGCAAUAUGAAAAGGUUGUCCGAGGUCUAUAGGAGAUGAAAAGGAGAUUUGCUUUUCCAGUAUACUCGGAUUAAAUGUAGUUGUUUCCUUUGUAGAUACCCUAAUUUGCUUGGUGCUUCCUAUGAUACCUAGAUUGCAGCUAAACCCUGCUUGGUACAGGAGAAAACACUGGAUUUGGAGGCAUAGAAUUUCAUUUCAUUACACUGCAUCUGUGAUAUUGAAUCGUAAUCUCUCUAGGCCUCUCCUCAUCAUUAGAGGUUCAACUAGUUGACCCAUCUAGUCUGCAGGGACAAAUUAGCACUGUCCUGUAGAUCUGGUUAUGCUUUGCAAAGAUAAGGCUGUCAUUGGACUAUAAUAAUACCUGCUAGUACAGCCUUGUGAUCCGAAUUUACUCUUUUUAAUGAACAGACAUGAAAACAUGGCAGUGAGAAAGGACACACCUAAGCAGCCCGUUUCAGUUUUUAACAGCUCUAAUUAGUGGGUAAAUCUCUAAGGUUCUCUGCACACAGGAAAUGCUCAUAUAUUUGUUGAAGACAGCUGUCCUGUGAAAUAUCAAUUGUACUAAAUUCCACUCGUUCUUUAUUUUCUAGAAUUUCCAACCUUGCAGCCUCUGACAGCAGCAAGGAGAAAUGGUAGUCAUUCUCCCUAACAACCUAGAAAGACUUAACGAGGUGCCUUUUGUAGCUCAGUCUUGUCUGAUUCUUCCUGACCCCCUUUUUUAGCAGUCAUUUCUCGCUCAUUUUAUACAUAAGGGAACAGAGGCAGGGUUUAAUGGCAGGGUCACACAAGUAUCUGAAGCUAUAUUUGAAUUCGGAUCUUUUUGACUAGGUCUGGCACUAGCCACUGUGCCACCUAGCUGCCUAGGGAGAUACUUCAAUAAUCUUUUAAGUUCCAUUAUGUUACUGUAGGAAACUUAAGAAUUGACCUAAAAUCAUGUGGUACCUAAAAUGCAGCUUCAUUGUAAUGGAAUAUUAUAUUGCAAUAAUGAGUGUAAUUUAUAAUUAAUCCACAUGCAGAAAUACUGCAUACCUGCCUCCCCAGUAUGUGCCCUUCCAUUCACCAUAUCUGAAGCCUUAAGAAGUCCAGCACUGAUAGCCUUUUAUAAUCCAACCCGAGCCUACCUUUUAAGGUUUUUUUUUCACAUUUCUAUGUUCUAG
rnacentral:lncRNA from 1 species